GACGAACCGUGCGAACGUUGUUCGGAAUCACUGGGCUUAAAGGGCGCGUAGGCGGGCUGGCAAGUCAGGGGUGAAAGCCCACGGCUCAACCGUGGAAGUGCCUUUGAUACUGCCAGUCUGGAGGGAGGUAGGGGCGUGCGGAACUUCCGGUGGAGCGGUGAAAUGCGUAGAUAUCGGAAGGAACACCGGUGGCGAAAGCGGCGCGCUGGACCUCUUCUGACGCUGAGGCGCGAAAGCCAGGGGAGCAAACGGG
rnacentral:rRNA from 1 species